UACUGUUAUAUAAUUUAAAAUUUGCAUAAAAUUCUUCUCUUGGUGUAGCUCAAUCAAGAAAUCAAUGAUUCCAGAAUAGCCUAAUGUUCGAGGUUUAUUUUAGUUUUUUUUAUCAAAGUCAUGCAUACUUUUUUACAUGUCAUUUUUUUCAGAGUUAUUCACUCAAAUUAUUUGGGCAUACUUAUUUCAUUCCAAAGUUACUUAUACACAUACAAAUACAUUCAAAUAUAGAUGCUUGCUUUUCAAAUUCCAAUAUUUUUUAUAUUAUCUUGUUUCAUUGUUUUAUGUACAUUUCAUAUAACCUGGUAAUGUUAGUUAAAAUGUGUGUACUUUUAAAUAUAUAAAGCUUUGUUAACAUGAUAAAUACUCAAUGAAAUAACUUGUAAGUGUGCUGGCCCCAAUAUAGCAUGUGAUGUCUGUGAACCAAUCAUGUAGCUCUGUUUGUUUGCCUAACUCCAUUGUACCUAGAUUUACUGCUGAAGAAUUGCAGGCAGUCUCAUUGUAAGUUACAAGAAUGUGGAUCAAUAAACAAAGCUUUAUUGUGCAAAAUGUAUGUUUCUACAACCAAAGCUUUAUUGUGUGUGUAUCAUGUAUUGGAAAAGAAAACUACCUGCAAUUGUUAACUUUUUACUGUGUUUAAUGGUUGUGUAACAACUGCUGAAAUGACUUAUAUCCAGUGAUACAUCAUUGAUCACAUUUUGUUAAAAUGAUGACUUGGUAAACAUACUGAAAAAAGGUGUUUUUUUUCUUUUAAUUCAAGAUAUUACUUUAAAAUUGGGCUGUUAUAGGGAAGGAGUGGCUUAUUGCAAAACAUAUGGUCUCGUGAAUUAUUAUUUUUGUGAUUUCCAAACCUUGAAUGUCUCUACAUGAAGUUAGAAAUAAUUUAAUUAUUUUCAUGUCUCAUUGUCUGUCUUCAAAAAAAAAUUUCAAUCUUGAAUACAAAUUAAUGUACUGGUAUGUUUAUGUGAAACAAUUGUAAUACAUGUAUUUGCCAAAAUUGUAUACAUUUACAGGUAGAUAAUAAAGUGAACAAAAAGUCAAC
rnacentral:sRNA from 1 species